AGAGUUUGAUCCUGGCUCAGAACGAACGCUGGCGGCGUGGCUAAGGCAUGCAAGUCGAACGAGGUGUGUGGAAGGUAACGGAAGCACAUUUAGUGGCGAACGGGUGAGGAAUAGAUAGGUAACGUACCCUGGACACAGGAAUAGCGGCGUCCCGACUUGUCGGGACUUUGCGAAAGUGCCGGUAAUACCUGAUGACAUCACUGGACCGCAUGGUCCGGUGAUCAAAGGUCCGCAGGUCUGGGAGCGGCCUAUCUCCUAUCAGCUUGUUGGUGGGGUAACGGCCUACCAAGGCUUCGACAGGUACCAGGCGUGAGAGCGCGAUCUGGCACAUCGGGACUGAGACACUGCCCGGACAUCUACGGAUGGCUGCAGCAACGAAUAUUCCGCAAUGGGCGAAAGCCUGACGGAGCGACGCCGCGUGUAGGAUGAAGCACUUCGGUGUGUAAACUACUGUCAGGGGUUAGGAAGAAAGUGACCAACCCCAAAGGAAGCCUCGGCUAACUCCGUGCCAGCAGCCGCGGUAAUACGGAGGAGGCAAGCGUUGUUCGGAAUUACUGGGCUUAAAGCGUGCGUAGGCGGGAUGGCAGGUGUCGUGUGAAAGCCCUCGGCUCAACCGAGGAACUGUUCGGCAAACCGUCAUUCUUGAGGC
rnacentral:rRNA from 1 species